rnacentral:rRNA from 1 species
UACGUAGGGACCAAGCGUUGUUCGGAUUUACUGGGCGUAAAGGGCGCGUAGGCGGCGUGACAAGUCACUUGUGAAAUCUCCGGGCUUAACUCGGAACUGCCAAGUGAUACUGUCGUGCUAGAGUGCAGAAGGGGCAAUCGGAAUUCUUGGUGUAGCGGUGAAAUGCGUAGAUAUCAAGAGGAACACCUGAGGUGAAGACGGGUUGCUGGGCUGACACUGACGCUGAAGCGCGAAAGCUAGGGGAGCAAACGGG